GACCAUAUAUAAUCAUCUUCUGGAGUAAGUUUCUAGAUUUAUUACUAAAGCCAAUCUGAGCAGAAUUCUCCAACAACACAAAAAGAAAAUGGUAUUUUGGUCUUACCCACCAACACUAAAACAACUCAAAUUCACUCUUUGCGGCAUUACAGCCGGCAUUGCUCUUAUUACUGCUGGUGCUUACUUAUCCUACGCCAACAUUGGGCCUCAACAAGCCCGCGCUAAGGCCCGAAAAGAUUACAUUAAAGCCCGUCUCAGACAACUUCUCCAAGAUUAAAAUACCUGUUAAAUACAUACUACUUUUAACACAAUCAGAUUUAUUUAUAUGUAGGAGAAAUUUUAACCCUUUUGGUUCUUUGGGUAUUCGUCAAUUAUUUGCUGGUUUGCUUGAGGAGUUCAAUUUACUUAGUAUAUUUCCUGGUAGGUUGUCACUUUGAAAGAUCACGAAGAAAUGGUCUCUGUUUUAUGCUGUGUACGAUACUUAUGGUAGUACCAAAUGCUGCUUUGUUUGCGAGUUAUCAUCAAUAGCGACAAGCCCACAACUAGCCGUUACUCAUUGCCAGCUUUGAAAGGUUUUCUCCCCACUUUUCACUUAUCUUUACAACCGUUCCUUCGACUUUUGUGUCCCUUCGGCUACAUCGACAUAAAGACAAGGCAGACCCUAACUGCUGCUUUCUCUUCACCUUAAUUUCGGUACCAACUCCAUCGAGCUUCAUGAAGAUGGAGUUUUUGAAGAUCGUGGGAGGUCCACAUAGGACGGCCUUCAAGAUAUGGGAGAUAGCUUGGAUUGAAGGCUUCAAGAACGUCACAUUCAAGAUAUGGAAGAUAGCUUGGGAGGCUAUUUGGAGAAGGAGGCUAUGCAUGCAAAAGAGGCUAGUACUUAAAUGCAAGCUUUUUCAAGUUUCACUUCCAUGAAAGACAUCCAAACAAGGCAAUCGUGAGGGAAUCGGAAGUGAGGAAGAUACUGAAAAGAUAGAUGAACUUUUGCUGCAACUUGAUCAGCAGCAGGCAUUCACUGGUUAUGGGCAGGGAUGGAUGCAGAAUGAUGAUCAUUGUCUUUUCCUGGGGAAGAGACAUGAGAGUAAUUGGUAUCAGGAUCAUCCAUUCAGUAACAAAGUUGGUUUUGAAUUUACAGUUCGGCCAGUAACUAUGCAAACUUUGUGGAUAGUUGACAUAGAUUAAUACCUGCCUUGGUUCCUAGCAACAUGCAAAGGUUAUGUUAUGGGAGUCAUCUGAAUUGCAUCGAGAUAACGCGGCCUAUUCCCUUCUACAAUGAUUUUAAAGCAACCAACAUAUACCCACGACUUAACUAGCUUUAAUGUAUUAAUUGUGAACCAAAUUUCACUAUUUCAGGUGUACUUUUACUUAAUGCUAGCCAUGAUGUAGAUGAAACUGCAUAUGAUUUUGUAAUUCAUUUCAAUUAACUUA